GGGCCAGGGCCCGAGCCGGGGCCGGGGGCCGGGGCCGGAACCGGGCGGCUGCGCGCUCACCUGCCGUGGAACCAGUCCUUGCAGGCGUCGCACUCGAUCAUGAAGCGGGCAAAAUCUGCAUGUUGCUGGGAGAUGCUGGCCACCACAAGCACAGAAUUCCAGACUUGAGGCAGGAAACCUGGGGCAGCUCACCUCACAGAAGCACCUUUAACAGACACUCAGCCGAGGCCUGCAGCUGCUAAGGGCCACUUGCUCCAAUUAUCUGGUAAGGCAGAGUUCUAAGAGUAGGCCCUUCAUGGGGUACCUGGACCAAGCUGAUCGGAUCCAGACCUGUGAGCCAUGAGAACUUUAGAACUCUCCGGGUUUUUCUGGUGAUCGAUCAUAUGGAUGAGGUGAAUUAUUUCUUAAUUUCUUGCCUUGGCCUGGGAUUUUGGAAUCAUGACAAAGCCAGGACAUUGGACAUUCUCUUUCAAUUGGAAAAUACUAAACUGAGGGCACUGUAAACGUAAGAAGGGCUAUAUCAACCCUCACUGGUAAUCAGAGCGAUGCAGAUGAAAACCAGAAACCCAUUUUCUCCAGCAUUCUAGCAGAAAGUCAGGGUUUGAUCAGCACUAAGGACCAAGAUACUGUCACUGCCCACCCUUAAGUGUGCCUUCUGGUGAAAUGCAUGUAGGGUGUGCAUGUCUCCCAGGUUGUGACCACCUGGAGACUGGUCACACCCCCUCUAAAGGCCCACCAGCAGGCCUAGAGCCCUUACCCUGCAGUGCUGGCUUUCCACCCCCCUCAUGGACUCUCUCCAUCCACUGCUCCCUGUCCCAGGACCAAGCCUGACUCCAGCCUCCAAAGACCACCAUCCUUCUCAUCCACAUCCCAGAGGCCCUCCUUGCCAUGCACCCAUCACAUCAUCAUAUUUCCCUCAUCUUCUUGUCUGAAAUAUUCUUAUUUGUACACAUGUACACUUCCCCCAGCCCCUGUGAAUGCCAUGAAGGCAGGCCUGUGAUGCUCUCUGAGCCUCGGGAUCUAGGGCAGUACACGACGCAGAUGCUCCAUCAAUAUUGGGGGAUGUCCAAAUAAAGCCAUGUCCAGCCACACUGGGUGGGCAGGUACAUCAUGGCACAGACACUCAUGGAGUCUUGGGGCUAAGGGAGAACAGCGGGGAGAGAGCGAGCCAUGAAAUGAUGCUAGAUGGGGGAAAAUGUUACAAAAUAUAUCUGAUGGCUUGAUUAUUUUCUGUAAAAAAAUUAUAUAUUGAUAUUACACACA